UCACCUCUCAAGCCUUGUGCUUGAUGUUGGACGGCCUGGUCGGACCCAUUAGUUCGACCCCUCCUAAAGACAAUGACGGCGGCUUGUGGUUUCCCCCGGUACACUGAGCUUUUUAUCGAGCACGUGCUGGAUUAGGGUGCCCGGGUCACGGUCCUCUCCCCCUGGUGGGAAAAUAUACAA
rnacentral:misc_RNA from 1 species